ensembl:rRNA 5S_rRNA 5S ribosomal RNA
GUCUACAGCCAUGCUACCCUGAACACGCUCGAUCUCCCGAUCUCUCGAUCCCGGCUGAUCUCGGAAGCUAAGCAGGGUCGGGCCUGGUUAGUACUUGGAUGGGAGACCACCUAGGAAGCCCAGGUGCUCUAGGCG